CAAUAGCGUAUAUUAAAGUUGUUGCAGUUAAAAAGCUCGUAGUUGGAUUUCUGGUUGAAGCGACCGGUCGGGCGUUGAUUCGUCUGCACUGGAGUCGGUUUUGGCCAUCCUCUAGGAAAGUGCGUCUGGUAUUCAGUUAUCGGGCGUAUGAUCCUGGUCUUUUACUGUGAAAAAAUUAGAGUGUUUAAAGCAGGCCUUCGCCUUGAAUACAUUAGCAUGGAAUAAUAAGAUAGGACUUUGGUCUAUUUUGUUGGUUUGCAGACCGAAGUAAUGAUUAAUAGGGAUAGUUGGGGGUAUUUAUAUUCCGAUGUCAGAGGUGAAAUUCUUAGAUUUUCGGAAGAUAAACUUAUGCGAAAGCAUUUACCAAGGAUGUUUUCAUUAA
rnacentral:rRNA from 1 species